rnacentral:rRNA from 1 species
CCUACGGGUGACAGCAGUGAGGAAUAUUGGUCAAUGGGCGCAAGCCUGAACCAGCCAAGUCGCGUGAGGGAUGACGGUCCUAUGGAUUGUAAACCUCUUUUGUCGGGGAGAAAGGCCCGCCACGUGUGGCGGGAAGGAGAGUAACCGAAGAAAAAGCAGCGGAUAACUACGUGCCAGCAGCCGCGGUAAGACGGAGGAUGCGAGCGUUAUCCGGAUUUAUUGGGUGGAAGGGGUGCGGAGGCGGAAGGUUAAGUCAGCGGUCAAAUGUCGGGGCUCAACACCGGCCUGCCGUUGAAACUGGUCUUCUUGAGUGCGCUAGAAGUAUGCGGACUGCGUGGUGUAGCGGU